rnacentral:rRNA from 1 species
AUUGAACGCUGGCGGCAGGCCUAACACAUGCAAGUCGAACGAGUGGCGGACGGGUGAGUAAUGUCUGGGAAACUGCCCGAUGGCGGGGGAUAACUACUGGAAACGGUAGCUUAUACCGCAUACCAUCGGAUGUGCCCAGAUGGGAUUAGCUAGUAGGUGGGGUAACGGCUCACCUAGGCGACGAUCCCUAGCUGGUCUGAAAGGAUGACCAGACAGACUGGGACUGAGACACGGUCCAGAGUCCUACGGGAGACAGCAGUGGGGAAUAUUGCACAAUGGGCGGAAGCCUGAUGCAGCCAUGCCGCGUGUAUGAAGAAGGCCUUCGGGUUGUAGAGUACUUUCGGCGGAGAGGCGUUACCCGCAGAAGAAGCACGGGCUAACUCCGUGCGAGCAGCGGCGGUAAGAC